UCCCUGAUAGUCCAGUGGCUAAGACGCUGAGCUCCAAAUGCAGGAGGUCUGGGUUCGAUCCCUGGUCAGGGAA
rnacentral:tRNA from 1 species